ensembl:lincRNA
GGUGCGUGUGGAGACUCACAGCAGCUUCAGCAUGCGGUCAGAGAUGAUGAAAACACACGAGCGGCGGCUCCAGACUCUGCCAGCGAGUCUCUCUCUGAAACCUCAGACAGUGGAUUGGUGAAGCAGAGCGAUGUGGAGGAUCCUCCAGCUCACCUGCAGACGGCCAGCAGCACUGAACACACCACUCCUCCAAAAACACCCUCUGCUGCCAGCCUGGCCGAGUCUGUGCAGUCCAACACACACAGCAGUGGGAAGCUGCGGCCCAGUCGAGUUCAGAGUGUGGUGUCCAGUCAGGGCAGCCUGGACUCAGACAUGCUGGGUGAGACUCCACUGAUUAUGCGCACACUCGCUCACGCACUCAUCUGUCCUCCUGCAUCAACUCUCCUCCUGCAUGUGUGUGUUUUUCAGGUUACGACGGUGGCAGCAGCGACUCGGAGUGUGAAGGACCCACGAUGAACGAGCAGGAGAAGCAGACGCCGCUCAUGCCUGAUUUCUGGCUCAUCAUCAGGAUCCAUCAGGACCGGGUGCAGGUUUUCUCUCACUCCAGGAGUUUGCAUCGAGGGAAAGAGGAGGAAGAGGAGGAGGAGAUCCCCGAAUACCUGCGCCUUCAUCAGCUGGUGGUGCGCAGGAUUGGAGAAAUGUGCCGAAUAGUCAACCAGCGCCUCCUGCUGCAGGAUCUGCAUGACAGUCGUGUGUGCCACUCUCUCCUGGUGGCGGAGAGUGAGGAGGACAUCUGGAAACAUGAGUCGCUCUACCGGCCCCGGAUGACCCACUCUGAUGACUAUAAUGCUGACGAGAGCUAUCAGCGGCGGGAUUACCUCGCCGCCACCAUGCACUUCAUACCGGGUUACUUCGCCUGUGACGUGGUGUGGAGCACCGUUAUUUACAUCCACCCGCGGCUCAAGAUGGGGCCCAACAUGGGUGUGUCCCGCGCUAUGCAGGCUCUGCACUCCGUUCUCAACGCUUUCUGUGUGGUGAACCGCAAAAACAUGUUUGUCUAUCAGGAGCGCACCACUAAAUCUGUGUUCUACCUCCGGCUCUCCGAGACGUCUCAGGCAGGGAAGUACAGUGAUUUGGAUGGAAACGUGCACAUGUCGCGCUCUGUCGGUCUGGCUCGCAGCCAGGAGCCGCUAGGCUCAGAGGACCUCACGGGAUCGCGCUCGUCUCUGGAAGGCUCGAGGCCAGUUGGACUGGUGGACAAACACAUUCUGCUGCUAGUUCAUGGUGUAGGAACUGCAGGUCCAGAGAUCUCGGAUGAGCUGAUGAAGCUCUUGAGGAAGCGUCUGGAUGAAGCCACACUGGACAUUAUUACAGUCAUGCUGGUCAGAAACUGCAAACUGACCCCUGCAGAUGUGGAGUUUAUCCAGCCUCCCGGGUCUCCAGCGACGGAGGUGAUGGAGUUCUGUCUGCCUCAGUACUGUGGGCCGUGGAUCCAGGCGGUGGCUCACUAUCUCCGGCAGAACCUGCUCAUUUUUCUCCACAUCCCCAAAUACACUGACAGCAACAUCGAGCACCACUUUAAGCAUUAUUUCCAUUCAAGUAGCGAGCUGCCCGAUCAUGACAUCUACCUGUACAAUAAACCUGGAGGACAGGGCACCGGAGGCAAAGGUAUCGUCUGCAUCGUGCUGUCGUUCGUGGAUGAUAAAGGCUGUGCGCUGUUGCUUACUGCUCAGGACGCCAGUGUUUCGGCUGUAAGAGGAGAUGCCACCGCCAUUUCCAUCCAGCCGGACCAGUUUGAGACCUUGACAACCGUUGUCAAGGUGGACUCUCGCAACCAGAGCUCAGGUGUUCGCGUGCGCUUUGACGUGUGGGAGCAGGGGAACAUCGAUCCUCUACAGCUGGCAAACAGACUGAAAGCUGCUCUACGCCACGCUCUCUGUGAUGUUAUUAUGGAGAUGCGUGUACUGCCCAGUCCACUGUGUCUGGACACCUUCUGCCUGCCCACUGCCACCCCGCGGGAGGAGAGCUCAGUUCCCUUAAGUCUUGUGCCGUCAGACAGUAAGGAGCAGAAGAAGACUCCUCGGCGUCCCAGCACAGAUCAAGCUCUCAGAAGCAGCCCGUCUCCCAUCAGCCUGAUCUCUGCACCCGCUUCCACCCCGACCACAGGAACCAGCACUCCCGAAUCCACAACACCCACCGGGAAAAGCACUCGCCGCAGCUUCUGGGAGAUGCUGAGCAAACCAGAGACUUCUGAAAUUGGCAGUCCGAAGACAACGGAUGAUAUUAUACCGGAGCGAGCGGAGGAUAGUCGGAUGGGAAGACGCAGACACAAGACGGAGAACGUCAAACAGUGGAGCCAUGAGAAAGCCAUGGCUGUGGAACAAGAGCAGGCUCAGAGGAGACGUGCGGUUCAGUUGGAGGAAGGAGAUACGGGGACUCUUCAGCCUGUUUACCAGACCACAUACAUGCCCUGGGUCAUGUUCAUGAAUAAACUGGGUUGUCCGUCCAUCCAGCACUGUUCAGCUGAAGUCUCGCAUCACUUCCUCCUGCCCUCCGUCCUCACAGAGUUGGUCAAUCUGGUCACUUCUCUGGCCAGUGACACCACAGUCAAAGUAUUCGAAAGAAGCAGCUGCCCUCAGGGAGAUAUUUACAUACCUCUGUCAAUCAUCCAGCACAUCAGCCAAUCACCUGCCACCACCAGGAGCUUCAUUCUCAUUGGUCGCAACUUCAGCCAGUGGCAUUGCAGUACUGAGCAAGCUCAUAAAGGCCUGCAGCGGUUCGAGGCUUUGGAGCACAGUGAUUGGCUGAGCCCGGGUCAGGCUGUGAGGGGCGUGGCUCCACGACAGCGUUUCCUGUUCAUUCACAUCGUCAACAAGAAGGUGACUCUGUACACGUAUAACUGGUCAGUGGAUCUGGGCGGCUCUCUGAAUCAGGCUCUGGUUAGGCUGGUGCAGUGGCAGAACGCUCGCGCACACGUGGUCAACUGCCUCCUGGGUCAGAAAAUGGGCCUUUUCCAUCAUUACUGCUUCUCUGAUACGCCUACACACGAGGAGCUGAAGCAGGAGCAAAACCCAUUCCUGAACUCCACGAUGGAGGCAGACGCUCUAUUAAGGAGUCCGGUUCCUCCGGCCGCCAGUAAGGAUCCGGGUCGACUAGGCAGCUCUGCGCGUGUUCUUCCUCCUCUGCCAUUUCCUGGUGAACUCGUGCCCUUUGAUGAAGCUCUGAGAGACGUCAACACUAACAGACCCCUGAGCAGUCAGGACGGGGCUGAUAUAGUGGCUCGACACGGAGCCCAGCUGCUGGAGGUCAAAGCAGCUGAACGCAGAGAGUUGGAGAGACAGAUGAAGAUCGAGAAUCUGUUUGUGACGUGGCAGCAGCGCUCGGCUCAGUCCAACAUGCCCAUAUCGGUGGCAGAUCUGGACACUCUAAAGCAAUCCUCUAGACUGGUUCAUUACUGCGCCACACCACUGCUCUUUGACCCUGUGUUCAGAAAACAGAUUCAGGAGGAACAGGUGCCACAGCCACAGAUGAAGAAGCGUCAUCGCUCCAGUGACUCGACAGCCUCGGGCCGGGACCGCAGCUACAGCACAGACUCUGCAGAGAUGCUGCCGAGCCGGCUGAAGGAGGAGCCGUGGCUGCAGGACAUCUCCAACACCUUCCUGCAGCAGUACGUGCAGUAUCUGCAGAGCAUGGGCUUCAUCCUGGUGCAGGUCCGGCCGCAGUCGCCAGCACGCAGCAUCGCUCGAGCUCGCGCCGCCAUGUUGAGCUCUCUGUCCACUGAAGGCAGAUCUUCAUUCUCAUCGUUCUCAUAUAAUAAGCAGAAGAGUGAAGACAGCAGCCCUAAGCAGAGCAGUUCGUCAGGCUCUGUGUCGUAUCACCUGCAGAGGGCGCUGCCGGGAGGAAUCGUGCUGAUGGAGCUGGCCUUUCAGGUAAGAGCUUCAUCUUCUGUCUUCAGAGCAGAGUUUUUAUUUUUCAGGCCUCAGAAUCAGCACACAGCAGACACUGGGCUUUUACAACAACACUGAACGUCUCGGCAGACACAGAGGAGAAAGAGAGAUGCUUAAUGGAGUCUGCCUCGCUCGCGCACUAUUUAUGCUUAUUAAUAUUUGAACACACAGAAUCAACAGCGAGGAAACAACAUGCCAUCUGAUCUCCAGCCUUCCUCACGCCUCACAUCUCUCACAAUUCACUUUCAGAGUGUUUUGAAGAUAUUGUUAUUACGGCUGUCAAAAUAAUUCAUUAAGACCUGAUAAUAAUCAUCAUCAUCAAUAUUAAUAAUGAUUUGCUUAUUUAUGAAUAAUAAAUCUAUUUAUAUCAAUCGUGUCAUCAUUUAGAAUUAUUAUUAAUUUUGUUAUUCUUAUACUUGUUAUUAAUAGUAGCAGUAAUAAUAAUAGUAAUAGCAAUAAAAAAAUGUAAUAUUGUUGUAAUUAUAAUUCAUACUUUAUUGAA